rnacentral:rRNA from 1 species
CCUACGGGUGGCAGCAGUGGGGAAUAUUGCACAAUGGGGGAAACCCUGAUGCAGCGACGCCGCGUGAGUGAAGAAGUCUUUCGGUAUGUAAAGCUCUAUCAGCAGGGGAGAAGAACGCCGUUACCUGGCUAAUUCGCACCUGCUAACUACGUGACGGCAGCCGCGGUCCUACGUAGGGGGCAAGAGUUAUCCGGAUGUACUGGGUGUAAAGGGAGCGUAGACGGCUGUGCAAGCCUGAAGUGAAAUCUCAGGGCUCAACCCUGGGACUGCUUUGGAAACUGGGGAGCUAGAGUGCGGGAGAGGUAAGUGGAAUUCGUAGUGUAGCGGUGAAAUGCGUAGAUAUUAGGAGGAACACCAGUGGCGAAGGCGGCUUACUGGACAGUAACUGACGCUGAGGCUCGAAAGCGUGGGGAGCAAACAGGAUUAGAUACCCGAGUAGUC